UUUUUCAUCAAAAAUCACUCUGUUCUCCGACACGUAAACAAUCAUCCGGUCGGCCAUGUUGGAUAUACUGGUUAAUCAGAUGUCGCAACAACACGCAAUCUGAUUGGUCAGAAGUGGAGAUACAGUAUGCGAAACUUUAGAAAAAUCAACCGGAAAAACGUCGUUGAUGUGAACGUGUGUAUUGACAGGAUAAGGGUUAGAAAAAAAAUAUUGACGUCCGAAAUAAUCGCACGAUAAAAACGGUCUUGGUGUGAAAGGACCUUUAGUGUCUGUGUUUUUGUUGCACACUGGCUACCCGUUGAGAAGAAUAACAUCUAUUCCUGCGUUCUUGUUGGAGUCUCUAAACUCCAGAAAAAGUCGCUAAAUUUGUCGCUAGGCGCUUUUUUGAAAAUAAGUCACUAGGGGGGUCUGAAAAGUUGUUAAAUCUAGAGACAAAGUCGUUAGGUUGGCAACACUGGACCAAACGGCAGGUUCAGAAAUAGUGAAAUGUCAUACGUAACCAAUCCAAGCUCCGCCCCUUGAGCCCCGGAAUGCAGGCCAGACUAUAUAUAGAUAUAGAGGAAAAAUACAGAGGACAAUCGCAGAACAAACGUGUGCAUUAGCGGAUUACAAUGCUAGUAAGAAAGCUAAUUAUAUGAUAUCAUCUUUCAUUGUGUCCCUAAAGACAUGAGUCGAGAGCUGAAUAGCUUCUAUGUAACCUGCCGCUUCUACUACACAAGCAAUGUUAGGCUACAAGCUAGCAUAAAGACGAGUGUGCAGAGCAGCGCUGUCUCCGCCCACGACUCAAAGGUGAAUUGCUAAUGAGCUACUGGAGCUCUGCAGAGGAAAAAUCCUUGAAAAUGAUAGGUAACGUGAUUUUGGCUGAAAACUUCAUACCCACAGUUUAAAAGACCACUGAGAAC